CACAUGGCAGAGCUCAACGCACCCCAGACCGGUCUUGAACCCGCACUUUCUGGCGUGCGAGCACAGUACCGCAUCCAUUUGGCGGUUUGGCUCAUUCACGCUUCUGACUGGGAGCAAGUGCUUGCCUUUCGGUUUCAUUUGCUGGCAUUCGGUCAUUUCUGUUCACGUGCAGUGCAAUUUCAUAUUGCUCGCAAAAGGACCUGAAUCCUAGAUUCUCAGCUGAAACAAUAAAUCAUCUCCGGAUUGAUCUAUUCAUUCGCACGUUUUAGCAAUGAGGGCAACAACCCCAUUGAUCAGAUGGAAGGUCAGGUUUGACUCUGCAUCCACUGGACCUGGAAAUAGGAUCUGAAAAUGGAAAUUAACUUUGCUUACCAGUUGAGACAAGCUCAUGAUAACUUCAAGAUUUUUUUCAGACUGAGCUUUCACAAGUAAUUAAUAACGGAAGAAUUCCUGCUGAUUGUUACCUGACUUUUCAUUUGAGUAACCAAACCCCUUUUACGCCAGUCGACAGCUCUGAGUUUCAGAUCAUCAUCGCCUUCUUCAAUUUCAUUAGAUUCAAGAUCGUCAACAUCUUCAUUAAAAUCAUCUCCUUCAUCAACAUCUUCUUCAGUUGAGUUAUCAGCUUCAGCAUGGAAGAAUCCAUUCAUGAUUUCAUUAAACUCUUCAGUGGUCUAAUGAUCAAACACAAUGACACUCACUUAUGAAAUGAGUAACUUUUGAAUGGACAUUGCUCUGGACAAAGAUCAAUAACAACACAGAGAUACGUUGUCACCUGUUCACGGGGUUUAACCAACCGAGAGAUCAAAGCUGCUCUGGCACUCCACUCUAAUAGGCACCAUGCUGUGGUAACUUCUAAAACUUUUCACUGCAUUUUUCAUGCUGAAGUACAGAUGGCAAUAAAUUUCUGUUCUAUUCUGCUCUAUUCACUACUACUGCCUCAAAUAAAGAAAUGGAGAAAAGGUCGGUGAGUCAGUUUCUUCACAGUUCAAUGUAAACUUGAACAGAGGGCCUGAAGGUGAUAAAACAUUGAUCUGGACUAUUGUGCAAAUGUUCAAGAUGGCAGCAGCGAUUAUAAGUAUGCCUCACUUUGAAAUAAUUUGAGGAUAUGAUCAUUAAAAUGCUACAAAGCACUUUCAUUACGAGGGAAAUGGGUUAAAUCUCCCCCAUGAUGGUUGACUUUAUCAAUGUUUAACCAAGCUGUCUGGAUAAACAGCAUCUCACAUUCCACCAUCAACAUUGCCACAAACUCCUGGUCACUGCUAAAGCAGUAGGUCUGCAAUUGGCCUCAGGACCCUUGAAUCUAAGAGGAGAAAGUUAGACAGUGUUCCUACUUCUGAUCACUCUGAGAAGUAGUGUUACACAAGUAUCAGUUCUCACUGUAGCAGGUGAGGGCCAGGGGAAGAUCCAUGCAGCUGGUGUGUUGAGUACUGUCAACACUGUCGUCUUGAAUUUGGUGGUGAACCUGUCCAUUAUCUGCUUUAUAUUUGGAAAGAACUGCAGAUAUAUGAACAAUGCCCCAGCCCAUGGAACUACCUGUUUGACAGAAGCAGGCAGAAUGUAAUGGGACGUAAAAUGGAAAGGAGAACCUAUCUUGCCUGAAAUAUAUGUUGGUGAGAGAGAUUGAAUUCUUGGUUGAAAUGAAGUUUUAUGAUAACGUUGUUCAUUUAGUAACAGCACCACAAAAUUCAGCAUCUAGUAGAGCCCAGAUGAUACAUUUUGUACACACCAGAUCUCCAUACUCAUUCAUUCCCACAGUGAAUGUGUGUUUCCCCAUCGGGUACUCCAGGUUAUGUUGUUCAAUGUAUCUCAUGUUGUCCUCCCAUACCAUUCUCUUGUAGUUCUCUUCAUCCUGAAUAAAGAUGUUAGAUUAA